GAGUGCAUUGGGCAAAAAGCCGUGUAAGUCGGUGUAACAGUACAGAACAGAGCACUUUUCCUUGGGGUGCUGCAUUCCCAAAGGCUUUCGGAUGAACCGUUGCAAGUGUGGGUGAUUUGUGAGAAGGAUGGAGGUGUUGUAUGCGGCCACUGUAACUGCAUGGCAGGGCUUGGGGAGACAUGCUCCCAUGUAGCUGCGACACUCUUUGCCAUUGACAGUGGUAACCAACAGCAGCAGCAGCAGC